rnacentral:tRNA from 1 species
GGAAGCGUGCCCGAGUGGUUGAAAGGGCUUGUCUUGAAAACAAGUAUACCCGAAAGGGUAUCGAAGGUUCGAAUCCUUCCGCUUCCG